GGCAGGCGGCGGAAGGGGAGAGGCGCUCUUGGCGGCCGUAGCCCGGUGUGAGUGGGGGGCGGGGAGGGAGCGGCGUCCCCAGCGCCCGCCCCGGCGGCAUGGGGGGCAGCGAGAGCAGCCACGGCGGCAGGAAGGUCUCCUUCGGGCUGGACGAGCGGGAGCAAGUCCGGGUGCUGCAGGGCAUCAGGCUUUCUGAAGAUGUAGUGAACCGAAUGAAAGAAUCUCCUCAAAGUAAAAGGGACAACCAGAGAUCACCCCGUUCAUCCAAUGGCACAGCUUCAUCUUUACCAGCUGCAGAAGGGAAACCCAAAUCUCCUACAGGAAUCCAGCCACCAAUGGCAAGUGACUCUGAUCAGAAGUCUUCUGCUGCAGAGCAGGAACUCUAUAGGAGGUAUGAACAAGAACAGGCGCUGGUCCAAGAGGAGUUGCUCCGGCUGGCCAAAAGAGAAAGGGAAGCAGCCAGUGAGGCCUUGAAUACUGCCCUUCAGCGGGAAAGGAACAACACUAAUGAAGAGAGGCAGAGAGUGGCCCAGCUGCCUGUGGAUUUGGACGCCUGGGCCGUGGAGCUACAAGGCAGGGAGGCAGAGUUGAAGCGGCAAGAGGCCUUCUACAAAGAGCAGUUGGCCCGCAUUGAGAGGAAGAACGCAGAGAUCUACAAGCUGACAUCUGAGCAGUACCAGGAGGCAGCCACGAAGGCAGAGGAGUGGAUAAAGAGGAGGAACACUGAUCCUGUCUGUGCAAGCCUGCAGUCUGAAAUUCUGAAGUGCUACCAGGAAAACAGACAUGAAGUGCUCAAAUGCUCGGAGCUGGCUAAGGAAUAUCAGCGCUGCGUUAGUGCAGCUCAGAAGAGCUGAAGGGUGCAGUCCAUCUCCACUGACGUGUGACGUGGACUUGUCUCAGCACAGUUCCGAGCAGUGUGGUGGAGUCUACAACCCACAGAGAAGGCUGCCAGUCUGUCCUCGGAGCUGUUAGUUAAUUCUAGAUAAACAUCAGCCACCAAAGAGCAGAGGACAGGGACCACAGACGCCCUUGGAAGCCCCAGCAUCCUUCUGGAUAGACACUGACCAAAACUGGUGCCUUCUGCCCUUCGCGGUCCAAGACGACAUGAUUCCUCUUCUAAUUGCCUGCAUGUAUCAGUCUCAGUGGAUGUUCCUGGAGUUAGGAGGAGUGUCCAGGGAGAGGGGGACACUACUGUUUCCUUUUUUAUUGUAUUGCAAUGUAAAGAAACAUAUUGACUCCAGGUGCUUCCAUCAUGGUUUGUAGGUUGAAGGCUUGCCCAACACAAACCUGGUUUCACCAAUCCACAUCUCAGUUUCAAGAGCUGUUAUCUUUGUCCGUUUGCUCUGGAGAAAGGGGUCCAAAGUAUUUGGAAGUAACCCUGACUAGCUUGUUAGGAUUAACUGUUCCUAGCAUGCUCCCCUUGGUUACACCAGUGGGCGCGUUUCUUCCUUUCCAAGGUUCCCUCAUAAACAAUAAAGUGUUUAAUGGUCA